rnacentral:lncRNA from 1 species
GAUUUUUCUGACUGGAUGCUUGGAGAAGAGCCUUCAUUCCCUUGAAAACUUUGCUCAGGACACUGGUGGAGGAAGUUGAUGGCAUGGACCUAAGAGAAAGUGUUGAGUACCUGUAUUGCAGCUCACAUAUCAUCCUUAAGUCCUUAGAGUGAGCUGAGGACCCAGCAAGCACUUGAGAGCAAAGGGCAUGGCAUGUUCACAUCCAAGGCCCGAGAGUAACAGCAAGUGAGAUCUGUAAGGGCAGUGUGAAGGGGUUGGUAAGAGCAGGAGUGUAGAGGGUGCCUGUGAGAUAUGACAAGCCCAUAGUACAUGGUAAGCCCAUAAUCCAUGCGGAUUUUCAUUGGUCCCACUGUAAUCGGGGCAUGAUCUCUGUGCUGUCUUCACAGGGUUGCAUUCCCUUUCCAGUAUGGUCCAUGGAAAACAUGCAGAGGAAAUGGCCCCACAGCAUUGGCUGAGUGUUUAUGUCGUCCAACCGAGUCUCCAUCGAACUGUUGUGGUGUUGCUGACUUGCCCUAGGUCACCUGAGUUAAAAGUAUGGUCCAUGGAAAACAUGCAGAGGAAAUGGCCCCACAGCAUUGGCUGAGUGUUUAUGUCAUCCAACCGAGUCUCCAUCGAACUGUUGUGGUGUUGCUGACUUGCCCUAGGUCACUUGAGUUAAAUGAGAUGCAUUCCUUUUCCUUCAUGGGCCAUGAGUGACAUCCAGAGAAAGUGUCACCACAACACUGGACAAAAGUUGAUGAUAUCUGAAUGAGCUACCAGUAAACCCCCCCCUUUUUUUGCUGUUAUUGCCUUGCCUGAGGAAAAGCGAGUUAAAAGAUGAUACCUACAGUGAUGAGUUGGAGUUAUAGAUGGUGCCAUUUCUUCUACCAGCAGCUUCACCAAAACAAUCUCCAUUAUACAUGCUGAUGCCUCUUUCCUGUGUAGCAGCAGACACCACCUGCAGAUAAGAAAUGCUUAAGUGAGAAAUGCUCAUUUUGGGAUAUCAUCGCUGAAACUAUAAUUUGGGCAUGGUGACUGUUUCCCUUGCUGCCACUUGACUCAAUCUCAGAAGUUUA